rnacentral:rRNA from 1 species
CCUACGUGGGGCAGCAGUGGGGGAUAUUGCACAAUGGGGGGAACCCUGAUGCAGCGACGCCGCGUGGGUGAAGAAGCGCCUCGGCGCGUAAAGCCCUGUCAGCAGGGAAGAAAAUGACGGUACCUGAAGAAGCAGCCCCGGCUAACUAAGUGCCAGCAGCCGCGGUAAUCCGUAGGGGGCAAGCGUUAUCCGGCUUUACUGGGUGUAACGGGGGCGCAGACGGCGAUGCAAGCCAGGAGUGAAAGCCCGGGGCCCAACCCCGGGACUGCUCUUGGAACUGCGUGGCUGGAGUGCAGGAGGGGCAGGCGGAAUUCCUGGUGUAGCGGUGAAAUGCGUAGAUAUCAGGAGGAACACCGGUGGCGAAGGCGGCCUGCUGGACUGCAACUGACGUUGAGGCCCGAAAGCGUGGGGAGCAAACAGGAUUAGAUACCCGAGUAGUC